UUCUAAUCUUGGGAGGGGACUUUAACAUCAUGUGCCCCCACAUUGACACAUCAACGGGCACUUCGGGGAUUCCCGCACCAAUCUUUUGAGGAGUUAAGGGCCUACUACAUACUUACCGACUGCUGGAAGUCUUUUCAUCUUGCCACCAGAGAGUACACGCAUUACUCUAUCCCUCAUGAUAAGUACUCAAGACUUGACUACUUUUUUUGUACCAUACUGUUACCUCUCUCAGGAUACCAGAGUAAACAUAGGGGUGAUGACUUGGACUGAACAUGACCGUGUCCUCCCCUCUUUUCAAACUUUGGAUGACUAACUGGAGACUUAACAAGACGAUCCUCACUGACCCACUCAUCUUUGCCCUGCCCUGAAGAAAUAUAGGGAAGCUGACAUUCUCGCCCUCCUGGGACAGAUACAUGCACUAGACCUGAAGCACAAAUCUGAUCAAGACCUGUCCACAUUCAAAGAACUUGUGGAAUUGAAGAGCCACUCUUCUUCACCACCUCCAACGCUCUCUAUAGCAUACCAAGGCAUUAUUUUAUGUUAACAGCAACAAAUACGGUAAACUUGCUUGGAUCCUGAACAAAAUAAGAACCAAAUCCUAUAUUGCCUGUUUGCAAGAUCUCCGCAGUAAGACACAACGGUUAUCUAACAUGAUAGCAGUAAAACACAAAAGACAGCAUACAAGGACUUGUGCAUGUGGUAUUGGAUGCCACAAAACGUGCAACGCAUAGACUCCACACUAAAUGAUGAAUGUUGGAGGUGUCACACCCGCCCAGGCACAUUUCUCCAUCUUUGGUGGGACUGCCCCAAGAUCAAGCCUUUUUGGUACUGAUUCGAGAGGUUCUGUGGAGGAUUUCAGACAACCGCCCCCCCCCCCCCUUUGUUUCAGCUCCUUAUCUCUUACACCACACUACUACGCCCACUGCCAGGUACAAGAAGUCCCUAACUGUUAGGAUCUUAACCCCUUAAGGACGGAGCCAAAUGUACACGUUGUGAACAAAACAAAAUUUAAACAAAACCUGGCAUUUGCGCUACAUGUCUGUCCAACCGUAAUUCAACUCUUUCAUAGUAAAUGCACCCACACUUAUUAUAUAUCAUUUUGUUCAGGGGAAACAGGGCUUUCAUUUCAUAUCAAAUAUUUAUAUAUGAAACAAUUUAUUAUGAAUAAAAUUUAAAAAACAGAAGUUUUAAAUUUUUUAAAAAAAUUUUUUAGUUCCGCCUCACAUUUUAGUUGUAAAUGUCAUAACACUG